GACGAACGCUGGCGGCGUGCUUAACACAUGCAAGUCGAGCGGUAAGGCCCUUUCGGGGGUACACGAGCGGCGAACGGGUGAGUAACACGUGGGUGACCUGCCCUCAGCUCUGGGAUAAGCCCGGGAAACUGGGUCUAAUACCGGAUAUGACUUCAUGACGCAUGUUGUGGAGUGGAAAGCCUUGUGCGGCUGAGGAUGGGCCCGCGGCCUAUCAGCCUGUUGGUGGGGUGACGGCCUACC
rnacentral:rRNA from 1 species